UCUGUGCGGUGAUGAAUUAUGAAAGAAAAAGAUCACAUGUCAGACUUCAGAGACUUCGGUCUGUGAGAAGGAUAAUUCAUGAUCUCUGAGCACGAA
rfam:Punica granatum cultivar Dabenzi scaffold158, whole genome shotgun sequence.